rnacentral:rRNA from 1 species
UAGGGAAUCUUCGGCAAUGGACGAAAGUCUGACCGAGCAACGCCGCGUGAGUGAAGAAGGUUCUCGGAUCGUAAAACUCUGUUGUUAGAGAAGAACAAGGACGUUAGUAACUGAACGUCCCCUGACGGUAUCUAACCAGAAAGCCACGGCUAACUACGUGCCAGCAGCCGCGGUAAUACGUAGGUGGCAAGCGUUGUCCGGAUUUAUUGGGCGUAAAGCGAGCGCAGGCGUUUUCUUAAGUCUGAUGUGAAAGCCCCCGGCUCAACCGGGGAGGGUCAUUGGAAACUGGGAGACUUGAGUGCAGAAGAGGAGAGUGGAAUUCCAUGUGUAGCGGUGAAAUGCGUAGAUAUAUGGAGGAACACCAGUGGCGAGGGCGGCUCUCUGGUCUGUAACUGACGCUGAGGCUCGAAAGCGGGGGGAGCAAACAGG